AUAAAGUUUUAUUCUAGCUUGUGGUUUUACUAUAUGAUUUUUGUAUAUGUAAGUUUUAGCGGGGGCUAUCUUAGAUAGAAAAAUUAGCAGUACAAAGUUUUAAAUAUUAAGUUAAUCUUAGAUUUAGGAAUUUAUUUUAGUAUAGACAAAAUUUGUGCCAGCAGUUGCGGUUAUACAAAUUAUGCAAGUUAAACUUAUUUAAUUUAGUUAAUUAAAUAUGAAAAAGCUUAGCUCAGGAUUUUUUGGGUGAAAUUUUAAAUUCUGUUAUGGCUUGUUUGUUGUUUUUGAGGCUGGGAAAUUUAGUAUUAAACUAGGAUUAGAUACCCUAUUAUUAUAAAUGUGAAUUUUUGGUUAAAAUUAGUAAAAGUUAUGAUCUUUAAAGUUAAAGAUUUUGGCGGUAUUUUAGUCUGAUCAGAGGAACCUGUUUUAUAAUCGAUAAUCCACGAUUAAUUUUACUUUAAUUUUUAAUUUAUAUAUCGUCGUAGUUUGAAUAUUUCAGAAGAAAAUUAAUGUUCAAUUGUUUCAAUAAGAAGUGAAUUCAGAUCAAGGUGUAGUUUAUAUUGAAGUAAAAAUGGGUUACAAUGUAUUUAUAUUUGGUUUUUGUUUUUAAAAGAUGAAAUAAAUUGGAUUUGAAAGUAAGUUUUAGUAUUUAUUAAAGUUGAUUAAGCUCUAAAAUAUGCACAUAUCGCCCGUCGCUUUCGUUAUAAAAUGAAAUAAGUCGUAACAAAGUAGGCCUAUUGGAAAAUGGGCCUGGAAUGAU
rnacentral:ncRNA from 1 species